rnacentral:rRNA from 1 species
GGAGUCUGGACCGUAUCUCAGUUCCAAUGUGACCGUUCAUCCUCUCAGACCGGUUACCGAUCGUCGACUUGGUAGGCCCUUACCCCACCAACUUCUAAUCGGACGCAAACCCCUCUUUAAGCGAUAAAUCUUUAGCGUUAUCAUCAUGCGACAACACCGCAACAUUCGGUAUUAGCAACCCUUUCGAGUUGUUGUCCCCAUCUUAAAGGCAGGUUAUUUGCGCUUUACUCACCCGUUCGCCACUAGGACCGAAGUCCCCGUUCGACUUGCAUGUGUUAAGCACGCCGCCAGCGUUCGUC